GACAGAUUUGGACAUAAUUUCACCUGCCAUAGUUAAGCCUUCUUCUACAAUUCUAACUGCAUCAACUAAAUUUAAAUAUAUCAAAUCAAGAGUAGGGCUUCUAUACUGUUAUGAGUAUAGAACCCUUUAUACUCAUAAGUUGUUUUCGAUGUUGGGGUUUUCGAAUUGACGAUCCACACCGUUAAACAUGAUCUAGAGUUUUUAAAACUUAUAGAAAAUAAAUUUUGUAAUUUUUCGAAAUCAUUAUAAAAUCCAUCAAAAGCGGGUAUAAAAUGAACGGUCAAAAUCGAACGACAUCAUAAAAAUGGAUGAUCGGAUCCUUCAAUUUAAGAUUGGAGUUAUUGAUCAUUAUUUAGGUAGUGAAUAGAAUUUUCUAUAAAAAAUUCAAACUAUUCCGACUCUUUUACAUCGUUAAACUAGCAAAUAUCCCACACCAGCCGUUAAAAUUCGUCAAUUUUGUGAGCUUUUGAUUGUAAGGUAAAUGAUAUCGAAAAAUUAUAAAAUUUGAUUUUUAGAAGUUUUAAAUACUUUAGAUAAUGUUUAACGGUAUGGAUCGUCGAUUCGAAAGCUCUAUCAUAAAAAAUGACUUAUGAAUACGAAGGCGAUCGUACUCAUAAGAGUAUAUUAGCCG
rnacentral:lncRNA from 1 species